CGAACCGAGCGAACGUUGUUCGGAAUCACUGGGCUUAAAGGGUGCGUAGGCGGGCUGCCAAGUUUGAGGUGAAAUCCUCCGGCUCAACCGGGGAAGUGCCUUGAAUACUGGCGGUCUGGAGGGAGGUAGGGGCGUGCGGAACUAACGGUGGAGCGGUGAAAUGCGUUGAUAUCGUUAGGAACUCCGGUGGCGAAGGCGGCACGCUGGACCUCUUCUGACGCUGAGGCACGAAAGCCAGGGGAGCGAACGGGAUUAGAUACCCCGGUAGUCCUGGCCCUAAACGUUGAGAACUAGGUAGCAGGCCGGACAUGGGUUUGCUGCCGGAGCAAAAGUGCUAAGUUCUCCGCCUGGGGAGUAUGGUCGCAAGGCUG
rnacentral:rRNA from 1 species